UUAGAACGGGAAAUAACCACUAUCAGCCAGUCCAACCUGCCGAGACAGGAACGCAGGCGUGAGGAUUGCGGACGGAGACAAAGCCAUACUCCAGGAGCAGCCUCUGGUUAUCAUGGGGGCCGUAGCAGAUGAACACCUCCUGGUGCUUCCUACAGCGCGAGGCUGUUCUAAUCUCAUAGCACCUGGUUUUCUCGUUAAACGCCGCUUUUACCUACAGGAGAAGGUAUGAGAGUCCUCUUGUUAGCGCAGGCCUAAAGGCUCAUCAAGCCACCAUGGUAAUUUCAGUACGAGGCAGUGUGACACGCUCAGCAGGGAGACUCCCACGGACAGAGAAUCCGACUCCUGCACUUCAGCCUGUUCCCUCCUCCAUCUCGCCCUUACCCAGGUGAGGGAGGAACUCCAGUCAUGGACUCUGAAAAUGUGGGCUGUGAUUCAGCAGGUCCAGGAACGGAGCAAGCGCACACGUGUCCGGCUCUGCGGAAAGGCACUCCUGCCUCCUGGACCUCAGGUACACAGCCCUGGUGUUCACCGUGCACCAGGCCCACAGGAAGGCUCGGUAGCUGAAAACGCUGUCCACAGGCUCUGCAAACAGAGGCUGCAGGGUAGAGAAGAAGCCUCUAGCGGAGGUAAACAGGUCCUGCACUCGGGCUCUCUGCUCUUCCGCCUUCGCCUUUAAAGGGCUGGGAAGAAGAUCUACCACUUCCGGCUCCAAACACACCGGGCAGGUGUAUGACUUGGGUAAGAUGUCCAGGUAAGACUUCCAGAGGGACCGACAGCCGGCAUGCUUUUCUGAGACUAAGAAAGUACACAAGGCCAGCAGAGGAGACACAGGAGGCUUCCACCUGGUGAAAUGAGGAGACAGAUGGGAAGAGUUAAAGUGUGGACUCUCACAAUGUCGUCUGCCUCAGAGGGGCUGUGUUCAAACUGUCAACUCUCCAAGACACAGGCAUCUUUCCUAGGGCCGUGCCUCUCCCGAGCCGCCACUUCCGUGACUAGCAGGUAAGAUUCACUCCCGUUUA
rnacentral:lncRNA from 1 species